CAGCAGGUAGUUUAAGUUAGAAUAUUAAUUUUGGAGGUUAAUGGUGAUUAUUAUUUCUGCUGA
rnacentral:tRNA from 1 species